rnacentral:misc_RNA from 1 species
GAAAUGCGAUAAGUAGUGUGAAUUGCAGAAUUCAGUGAAUCAUCGAAUCUUUGAACGCACAUUGCGCCCUAUGGUAUUCCGUAGGGCAUGCCUGUUCGAGCGUCAUUUACACCUUCAAGCCUUGCUUGGUGUUGGGUGACUGUGGCCCCUUUGGGGCCACUCGCCUUAAAGUCAUUGGCGGCCGGUUCGUUGGCUUUGUAGCGCAGCACAAUUGCGUCCUCGAAGCCGCUGGACCAGCUCCCAGAAGCUAAUUUUAAAUGUUUGUCCUCGAAUCAGGUAGGGAUACCCGCUGAACUUAAGC